AACAACUCAGCACCAACUCAUACUAGUUCUUCCUUUACAGCACCUCACCUCUGUAAAUGUGGGAGAACUCACAAUGGCCUCCAGUUAAAAACAAGUUCAAGUUCUAAAUAAGGUGUUCCUCUGGCCCCGCCCACUGAGGCAAACCAAUGAGAUUGUAUAUAUCUCCAGAGCAGAAAAGUUUGAGGAAGUCAAAUUAAAACCAUGUCAAAGUAGAGGAGAACAUCUGUGCAGCACAGAGGCUGUUUAGUUUAGAAGAACAUUACUCAUCUGCUGUCUGUUUGUCUUCAACAACUCCAAAGACAUGCUGCUUUACCUCUUUUUACUUUGCUCUCACUUUAUAGCCCUGGGCUCCAUGAACAGCAUAAACCCAGAAAGAACUGAAGAAAAAGUUGAAGAGGGAGGAAACAUCAACCUGACCUGUACAUAUGAUGGUCAAAUCAACAACAUCCAGUGCUACAGAGAAAACCAGAGAUCCAGACCAGAGUUCCUGCUCUACAUCACAGAGGGAGGAUCGAUUCAUCCAACAGAUUCUGAUUUCUCAGCUUACAUUAACAAAACGGAGAAACGAGUAAAUCUGGGGAUCUCCUCUGCUGCACUGACUGACUCUGCUGUGUACUACUGUGCUCUGAGGCCCACAGUGACAGGAAACACCACAACUCUGUACAAAAACCUCUGGAGAGAAGACAACACAAUACUCCACAACAUCCACUAGAGGGAGUCACACACUGAUAAACUUCUAUGGUAUGUCAUGAUGAAGGCUUGAUGUUUCUCAAUUCAGAAAUGAAACUAGUUCAACAGAUGAGUCUCCUCCCAAUGACUGCAGAGGUGUUUGAUGACAGAGAACUGUUUGAUUCCAGCUGUGAACAUCAGACCAAACUCUACUCACAAAACUGAAUCAUACUGAACAUUCAGUUACAGCAUCUCACCUCU